rnacentral:lncRNA from 1 species
CACUGUUCAAGUACCGCUUCCCUUUGCAAUUCACCUCCAACCCACUCGUAUGUAAUCAUAAUUAGUUUAAUAUCAUGAAUUAUUGCUAAAUGAAUCAACUUUAAUGCAUAGUUACCUAUUUCUCAAAUUUCCUAAAAAGGUAAAAAAUUGACCCAGACCUGCUUGGUCUAAACUCGAAGUUCGGACCAAAAUUAGUUUACCCAUUCACCCCUAAGUCCGAAUAUUCAAU